AACGAACGCUGGCGGCAGGCCUAACACAUGCAAGUCGAGCGAGGACUUCGGUCCUAGCGGCGGACGGGUGAGUAACGCGUGGGAACGUGCCCUUUGCUUCGGAAUAGCCCUGGGAAACUGGGAGUAAUACCGGAUGAGCCCUUUGGGGGAAAGAUUUAUCGGCGAAGGAUCGGCCCGCGUUGGAUUAGGUAGUUGGUGGGGUAAUGGCCUACCAAGCCGACGAUCCAUAGCUGGUUUGAGAGGAUGAUCAGCCACACUGGGACUGAGACACGGCCCAGACUCCUACGGGAGGCAGCAGUGGGGAAUCUUAGACAAUGGAGGAAACCCUGAUCGAGCCAUGCCGCGUGAGCGAUGAAGGCCUUAGGGUUGUAAAGCUCUUUCAGCUGGGAAGAUAAUGACGGUACCAGCAGAAGAAGCCCCGGCUAACUCCGUG
rnacentral:rRNA from 1 species